rnacentral:rRNA from 1 species
UAGUAAUUUUAGCCGUAAACGAUGGAAACUCACUGCCGAGCCGGUAUUCGGAGCGGUGGUCAAGCUAACGCGUGAAGUUUCCCGCCUGGGGAUUACGCAUGCAAAUGUGAAACUCAAAGGAAUUGACGGGGACCCGCACAAGCGGUGGAGUAUGUGGUUUAAUUCGAUGCAACGCGAAAAACCUUACCAAGGUUUGAAAUCAUUUCAAAGCUCCUUGAAAGAGGAGCCUCCUUCGGGAUGGAAUGACAGGUGGUGCAUGGCUGUCGUCAGCUCGUGUUGUGAAAUGUCAAGUUAAGUCUUGUAACGAGCGCAACCCAUGCCUUUUGUUGCUGUUUUACAGUGCUUAAAAGAGACUGCCGCUAUACAGCGGAGGAAGGUGUGGAUGAUGUCAAGUCAGCAUGCCCCUUAUAUCUUGGGCUACACACGUACUACAAUGGUAGGGACAAAGAGUCGCAAACCUGCGAAGGCUAGCCAAUCUCAUAAACCCUAUCUCAGUUCGGAUUGUACUCUGCAACUCGAGUACAUGAAGGUGGAAUCGCUAGUAAUCGCUGGUCAGCAUACAGCGGUGAAUACGUUCCCGGGUCUUGUACACACUGCCCGUCACACCAUGGAAGUCGAUCCUUCCCUAAGUCGUUACUCGAACCUUUAUGGACGAGGAUGCCGAAGGCAGGGUUGGUGACUGGGGUGAAGUCGUAACAAGGUAACC